AUCCAGAUGACGAGUCCCAAAUAGGACGAAGCGCGGGUUGUCUUGGAU
rnacentral:hammerhead_ribozyme from 1 species